GGGGGAGGGGCUGCUGAGGAAGGCCACAGGGGCUAAGGAGGAUUUCCUCAGAGCUUUUGGGAAGCUAUACGUUCCUGGCCCCGAGGUAAAGCUCCCACAGGCUGCUUGACCCAACAGAGCAGCUCCUACCCACUGGGAUUCUCGGUCUGCAGGAAUCUGGCAUCCACCUGGGGAGCAUCUGGCUGAGGCAGCCUGGAGACAGGCACGCACCAGAAGACUUCUGGUUCCAUCCAGGCCCAAGGACCACUGAACUGGAGCGGUCUUCUCCAUCCCCCAGCAAGCCUGUGCGUGAGCUGGGGACAAGGGGCAGAGGAGGCAGAGGUCCCCCUCACACCAGGAAGGGAACAGCGCCACUAAAGGGCCUGGUGGAGGCAGGGUGGAGGUGGAAGGAGACUCAGCAGAAGGGGGACCCACCCAUCACAGUAAAUGCCAGCACUGCUGAUGCCAAAACAAUGUUAUUUGUAGGCCCUCGGAAUUUGUGACCUGAAGGAAGAAGAGCAGGGCCGUGGGAAGUAUGUAACCAGUGUCAUGCCCCUGGUCCCAAGGAAGCAGUGGCUUGGAUUGCAGAGUUCAGCUGGCCAUCAUCCACCAGCCGGGGGACUGUGCACAUCAGUUAACCUCUCCUCUCAGGCCUUGAAAAGCACCAGGCUUAGUACACGUUUGUUAAAUGAAUGCACUGCAGUUUUUUUGCUUGUUAAAGGCAGGUAAUAAUAAUGAUAUUGCUGACUAAGGGCUCCCAUCCACUCCCAGUGAGCCCGGUGCCCCCCCGGGCCUCCUCAGUGAGCUGAGGAGGCUCAGCAGUGCCUGCACGUCCCCUCGCCACAAUGUCAUGUGCCACCUCUUCAAAGGAGGGAUGUACCAGCUAGUGGACGUGACCUUGACUGCAAAGGGCGGCACGCAGCUGAUGUAAUGGUCGCUUAAGUGUUCACAAAUGCCUGAACACCCUGUCCUACCUGGUCCUACCUGGAUGCUGGCCUCAGUAAGCUCCUGGGCUCAUUGAAGAUGAACCUAGCAGUAGUAUUUACACCACUUGUUGUGUGCCCACUGUGGGCCCGGCGCCAUGCCGAGUGCUCUAUGGAUGUGAGAGAAACGGAGGCCCAGAAAGCAGAAAUGAUGUGUUAAGAUCACUCAUCAAGCUGAUGGUACAGAGGUUAGAGCCUCUGCUCCCUGCUCUACCUCUUUCCCUUACUCCACAUCCAUGCCUGUCUCUUCCAAUGGGUCGGCAUCCACCCUGACACAUUAAAGCCAAAAGGAACCUUAAGCUAGGGAAGGGGCUCCAGAACUUUAGUGAAAGAUUCAAACAUGUCCACUCAACUCAAUGGAGAAAAUACAAUAUUCAAUCAAUGGUGUUGGGAUGCCUGGAAUAUUGUUGGAGAGGGAUCAUAAAAAUGGAACCAAAACAAUUCCAUUUGGGUCAAAGAUUUAAGUGUCAUAAAGCCAUGUAAAUUCUAUAAGGAAGUAUGGGUAAAUUGAUUUACAUUUUGGAAUAGGAAA
rnacentral:lncRNA from 1 species